rnacentral:rRNA from 1 species
UACGUAGGGGGCUAGCGUUGUCCGGAUUUAUUGGGCGUAAAGAGCUCGUAGGCGGCCUGUCGCGUCUGCUGUGAAAUCCCGGGGCUUAACCCCGGGCGUGCAGUGGAUACGGGCUGGCUGGAGGCAGGUAGGGGUAGAGGGAAUUCCCAGUGUAGCGGUGAAAUGCGUAGAUAUUGGGAAGAACAUCAGUGGCGAAAGCGCUCUACUGGACCUUAUCUGACAUUGAGGGACGAAAGCUAGGGGAGCGAAUGGG